UGGGGAAUAUUGCACAAUGGGCGCAAGCCUGAUGCAGCCAUGCCGCGUGUAUGAAGAAGGCCUUCGGGUUGUAAAGUACUUUCAGCGGGGAGGAAGGGAGUAAAGUUAAUACCUUUGCGCAUUGACGUUACCCGCAGAAGAAGCACCGGCUAACUCCGUGCCAGCAGCCGCGGUAAUACGGAGGGUGCAAGCGUUAAUCGGAAUUACUGGGCGUAAAGCGCACGCAGGCGGUUUGUUAAGUCAGAUGUGAAAUCCCCGGGCUCAACCUGGGAACUGCAUCUGAUACUGGCAAGCUUGAGUCUCGUAGAGGGGGGUAGAAUUCCAGGUGUAGCGGUGAAAUGCGUAGAGAUCUGGAGGAAUACCGGUGGCGAAGGCGGCCCCCUGGGCGAAGACUGACGCUCAGGUGCGAAAGCGUGGGGAGCAAACAGG
rnacentral:rRNA from 1 species